GCUUGUGUGUCUUAGGCAAUGUAGCCUGUGUAGUGUGUGUUGUGUGGCCUGGGCAGAGUUUGCUGUGGCGCUGUGAGUGAAGAAUCUGAGUUAGAGCUGGUGCUUUGUGCAGUCGUGGACAGGGAAGGGAUAUCCUCCUGUGAUGGAGCUCUGAGGGAAGGUGAGUGUUGCCAGCCUGGUUGUGCCUUAUCCGAAGCGAAGACGCUCAGGUGUUUCUCUGUGAGGGUCGGAGGUGAGGCCGUUUGGGAUAGAGGAGCAGUGUGGCAGGUGGUUGCUUGCAAGCACAGUGGUCGUUUUGUCCUUUUGUGUUCCCAGGUGUUGUGGAUGAUGGUGGCCGCUCCUUUCAAGCUUGGACCUAAUUUGCAAGUAUAGAGGCAAGUGGAGUGCUGUUUUGAAAGGAUAAAAGUAAAGCUGGGGUCGCUUAUGUUGUUGAGGGAUGGGUGCUACCGCUGGCAGCUGAAUGUUUAUCUUCUGCCUGUGUCUUUCCUUUGUUCAUGUUGAAAUGCAGCGUGCAGUGCGCAGUGCAGGACGUCUCGACCCGAGCUGCCUCUGCAGUGACUCUGAUGCGUGAUAAGCUGAGGUAGCUGUUAUUUUUGGGGUGCGGUUGUUACUGCAGUUAUUUUCCUUCGUUCAAUAGAGUAAAAUUCCAGUUUGCCUUUUAGAAGUGCUGUAAGUGGCUAAUGAGAACAGAUGGAAGCAUCUGCUAUGUGGGGCAGGCAAGCGGCUGAGGUACAGGAGGGGAUGAAAGUAUGUGAUUUUUUUCUGGGGAUGGAAUGGAAUUGAUUUUGUUGGUGUAUAAUCUGUUCUGAUCCUGGAUUUUUCUUUCUAAGUUUAAAAAUAAUAAUAAAAUUUGAGCUAAUACCA
rnacentral:lncRNA from 1 species